AACGCACUGGAGGUGGUGUGAUGGAACGUGAGAGGGCUAAAUAGCCCUGCCAAGAAGAAGGCGCUAAGGAAGUUCGUAGACACAGUGCAUGUCGUGAUAAUUUGUAUCUUAGAAACUAAACUAGUGGUCUUAAACCAGUACACUAUAAUGCAAUGUCUUGGGCCAUCCUAUGAUGCCUUUGCUUAUCUCCGGGCUUCGGAUACUAGAGGAGGCAUCUUCGUGGGUUGGGAUUCCAUGAAAGUCAACUUGUCAAACUUUGGUAAUUACACUAACUCCAUAACCGGAUAUGUCUUGCCAAAGGAGGGAGCUGUGUGGUGGCUCACGGUUGUGUAUGGGCCAUAA
rnacentral:rRNA from 1 species